UACGGAGGGUGCAAGCGUUAUUCGGAAUCACUGGGCGUAAAGGACGCGUAGGCGGGUUGGCAAGUCAGAUGUGAAAUCCUACAGCUUAACUGUAGAACUGCAUUUGAAACUGCUAACCUAGAGUAUGGGAGGGGGAGAUGGAAUUAGUGGUGGAGGGGUAAAAUCCGUAGAUAUCACUAGGAAUACCAAAAGCGAAGGCAAUCUUCUGGAACACUACUGACGCUGAGGCGCGAAAGCGUGGGGAGCAAACGGGAUUAGAAACCCUAGUAGUCC
rnacentral:rRNA from 1 species